rnacentral:lncRNA from 13 species
AUGGAGCUAUCGAGAACACUACCUGUGUUACAGCCAUUACUGAAAACAACUGCAUCAACUGGGUUCAAAAUGAAGGCACAGAAAGUGACAGCUACUUUCACCAUGGUGUUCUUAUGUUGGAUUAUCCAUGAAGUUUCUUCCACAACCGCAUAUCCGACAACUGCUGAUCUUAUUACAACAACAACAACUGCAGCUCCUACGGCAACAACUGUAGCUCCAACGACAACUGCAGCUCCAACGACAACUGCAGCUCCAACGACAACUACAACUGCAGUACCUAAUACUAUGACUACAACUACAGACCCUACUACAACUGUAGCUCCUACGGACACUACAAAGGUAACACCUACAAUGACCACUGUAGCUCCCACGCCACCUGCAACUCCUACGACAACUGAAGCUCUGAUAACAACUGCUGUUCCCACGACCACUACAACUCCAAAACCUACUACGACAGAACCUACUCCCACGACUGCUACGACUGCAGAACCUACCACGACAACCAGUGCAGCUCCUACAACAACAACUGUUGUUCUUACGACAGCAACGACUGCAGCACCUUCUACAACAACUACAACUUCAGCUCCUACGACAACCACAACAGCAGCACCUACAACAACUGUAGCUCCCACGACAACUGUAGCUCCUACAACAACAACUGCUGUUCUUACGACAGCAACGACUGCAGCACCUUCUACAACAACUACAACUUGUGCUCAUACGACAACCACAACAGCAACACCUACUACAACACCUGCAGUUCCAACAACUGUAGCUCCCAUGACCACUACACUUGCUGUACUGACUACAACAACCACAACUGCAGCUCCUGCUACAACAAUUGUAGCUUCUACGUCAACCACAGCAGCUGCCUCUACGACAACUGCUGCUCCAACGACCACUACAAUUCCAGAACCUAUUACGACAACCACUGCAGUUCCUGCAACAACAACUGCUAUUCUUACAACCACAGUGACUGCAGCACCUUCUACAACAACUACAACUUCAGCGCCUACGACAACCACAACAGCAACACCUACAACAACUGUAGCUCCCACGCCAACUGCAGCUCCUACAACACCUUUAUCAUCUACUUCAACCACAGCAGCUGCCUCUACGACAACCACUGCAGCUCUAACUACAACAACUGCUGCUCAAACGACCACUACAACUCCAGAACCUAUUACGACAACCACUGCAGCUCCUGCUACAACAACUCCUUCAACAACUGUAGCUCCCAUUACAACUGCAGCUCCUACAACAACUUUAGCAUCUACUUCAACCACAGCUGCUGCCCCUACGACAGCCACUGCAGCCCUAACUACAACAACUGCUGUUCCUACGACCACUACAAUUCCAGAACCUACUACGACAACCAGUGCAGCUUCUACUACAACAACUGCUGUUCUUACGACAACAACGACUGCAGCACCAUCUACAACAACUACAACUUCAGCUCCUAUGACAACCACAACAACAGCACCCACAACAACUGUAGCUCCCACGACAACUGCAGCUCCUUCAACAGCUUUAGCAUCUACGACAACCACUGCAGCCCUAACUACAACAACUGCUGCUCCUACGACCACUGCAACUCCACAACCUACUACGACAACCAGUGCAACUCCUACUACAACAACUGCUGUUCUUACGACCACAGUGACUGCAGCACCUUCUACAACAACUACAACUUUAUCUCCUACGACAACCACAACAACAGCACCUACUACAACACCUGAAGUUCCUACAACUGUAGCUCCGACGACCACUCCACCUGCUGUACUUACUACAACAAUCACAACUACAGGUCCUGAUACAACAACUGUAGCUUCUACGUCAACCACAGCAGCUGCCUCUACGACAACCACAGCUGCUCUAACUACAACAACUGCUGCUCCAACGACCACUACAAUUCCAGAACCUAUUACGACAACCACUGCAGUUCCUGCAACAACAACUGCUAUUCUUACAACCACUGCAACUGCAGCACCUUCUACAACAACUACAACUUCAGCGCCUACAACAACUACAACUUCAGCGCCUACGACAUCCACAACAGCAACACCUACAACAACUGUAGCUCCCACGACAACUGCAGCUCCUACAACAACUGUAUCAACUACUUCAUCCACAGCAGCUGCCUCUACGACAACCACUGCAGCUCUAACUACAACAACUGCUGCUCAAACGACCACUACAACUCCAGAACCUAUUACGACAACCACUGCAGCUCCUGCUACAACUACAACUUCAGCUCCUACGACAACCACAACAACAGCAACUACAACAACUGUAGCUCCCACGACAACUCCAGCUCCUACAACAACUUUAGCGUCCACUUCAACCACAGCAGCUGCCUCUUCGACAGCCACUGCAGCUCUAACUACAACAACUGCUGCUCCUACGACCACUGCAACUCCAGAACCUAUUACAACAACCAGUGCAGCUCCUACUACAACAACUGCUGUUCUAACGACCACAGUGACUGCAGCACCUUCUACAACAACUACAACUUCAGCGCCUACGACAACCACAACAGCAACACCUACAACAACUGUAGCUCCCACGCCAACUGCAGCUCCUACAACACCUUUAUCAUCUACUUCAACCACAGCAGCUGCCUCUACGACAACCACUGCAGCUCUAACUACAACAACUGCUGCUCAAACGACCACUACAACUCCAGAACCUAUUACGACAACCACUGCAGCUCCUGCUACAACAACUCCUUCAACAACUGUAGCUCCCAUUACAACUGCAGCUCCUACAACAACUUUAGCAUCUACUUCAACCACAGCUGCUGCCCCUACGACAGCCACUGCAGCCCUAACUACAACAACUGCUGUUCCUACGACCACUACAAUUCCAGAACCUACUACGACAACCAGUGCAGCUUCUACUACAACAACUGCUGUUCUUACGACAACAACGACUGCAGCACCAUCUACAACAACUACAACUUCAGCUCCUAUGACAACCACAACAACAGCACCCACAACAACUGUAGCUCCCACGNNNNNNNNNNCCACAACAGCAACACCUACAACAACUGUAGCUCCCACGACAACUGCAGCUCCUACAACAACUGUAUCAACUACUUCAUCCACAGCAGCUGCCUCUACGACAACCACUGCAGCUCUAACUACAACAACUGCUGCUCAAACGACCACUACAACUCCAGAACCUAUUACGACAACCACUGCAGCUCCUGCUACAACUACAACUUCAGCUCCUACGACAACCACAACAACAGCAACUACAACAACUGUAGCUCCCACGACAACUCCAGCUCCUACAACAACUUUAGCGUCCACUUCAACCACAGCAGCUGCCUCUUCGACAGCCACUGCAGCUCUAACUACAACAACUGCUGCUCCUACGACCACUGCAACUCCAGAACCUAUUACGACAACCAGUGCAGCUCCUACUACAACAACUGCUGUUCUAACGACCACAGUGACUGCAGCACCUUCUACAACAACUACAACUUCAGCUCCUACGACAACCACAACAACAGCACCUACAACAACUGUAGCUCCCACGACAACUGCGGCUCCUUCAACAGCUUUAGCAUCUACGACAACCACUGCAGCCCUAACUACAACAACUGCUGCUCCUACGACCACUGCAACUCCACAACCUACUACGACAACCAGUGCAACUCCUACUACAACAACUGCUAUUCUUACAACUGCUGCGCCUGCUUCACCUUCUUCAACAACUACAACUUCAGCGCCUACGACAACCACAACAGCAACACCUACAACAACUGUAGCUCCCACGACAACUGCAGCUCCUACAACAACUGUAUCAACUACUUCAUCCACAGCAGCUGCCUCUACGACAACCACUGCAGCUAUAACUACAACAACUGCUACUCAAACCACCUCUACAACUCCAGAACCUAUUACGACAACCACUGCAGCUCCUGCUACAACAACUACAUCUUCAGCUCCUACGACAACCACAACAGCUACACCUACAACAACUCUAGCUCCCACGCCAACUGCAGCUCCUACAACAACUUUAUCAUCUACUUCAACCACAGCAGCUGCCUCUACGACAACCACUGCAGCUCUAACUACAACAACUGCUGCUCCUACGACCACUGCAACUCCACAACCUACUACGACAACCAGUGCAACUCCUACUACAACAACUGCUAUUCUUACAACUGCUGCGCCUGCUUCACCUUCUUCAACAACUACAACUUCAGCGCCUACGACAACCACAACAGCAACACCUACAACAACUGUAGCUCCCACGACAACUGCAGCUCCUACAACAACUGUAUCAACUACUUCAUCCACAGCAGCUGCCUCUACGACAACCACUGCAGCUAUAACUACAACAACUGCUACUCAAACCACCUCUACAACUCCAGAACCUAUUACGACAACCACUGCAGCUCCUGCUACAACUACAACUUCAGCGCCUACAACAUCUACAACUUCAGCGCCUACGACAACCACAACAGCUACACCUACAACAACUGUAGCUCCCACGCCAACUGCAGCUCCUACAACAACUUUAUCAUCUACGUCAACAACAGCAGCUGCCUCUACGACAACCACUGUAGCGAUAACUACAACAACUGCUACUCAAACCACCUCUACAUCUCCAGAACCUAUUACGACAACCACUGCAGCUCCUGCUACAACUACAACUUCAGCUCCUACGACAACCACAACAACAGCAACUACAACAACUGUAGCUCCCACGACAACUCCAGCUCCUACAACAACUUUAGCGUCCACUUCAACCACAGCAGCUGCCUCUACGACAACCACUGCAGCUCUAACUACAACAACUGCUGCUCCUACGACCACUGCAACUCCAGAACCUAUUACGACAACCAGUGCAGCUCCUACUACAACAACUGCUGUUCUAACGACCACAGUGACUGCAGCACCUUCUACAACAACUACAACUUCAGCGCCUACGACAACCACAACAGCAACACCUACAACAACUGUAGCUCCCACGACAACUGCAGCUCCUACAACAACUGUAACUUCUACGUCAACCACAGUAGCUGCCCCUACGACAACCACAGCUGCUCUAACUACAACAACUGCUGCUCCAACGACCACUACAAUUCCAGAACCUAUUACGACAACCACUGCAGUUCCUGCAACAACAACUGCUAUUCUUACAACCACUGCGACUGCAGCUCCUUCUACAACAACUACAACUUCAGCGCCUACGACAACCACAACAGCAACACCUACAACAACUGUAGCUCCCACGCCAACUGCAGCUCCUACAACACCUUUAUCAUCUACUUCAACCACAGCAGCUGCCUCUACGACAACCACUGCAGCUCUAACUACAACAACUGCUGCUCAAACGACCACUACAACUCCAGAACCUAUUACGACAACCACUGCAGCUCUUGCUACAACAACUCCUUCAACAACUGUAGCUCCCACUACAACUGCAGCUCCCACAACAACUUUAGCAUCUACUUCAACCACAGCUGCUGCCCCUACGACAGCCACUGCAGCCCUAACUACAACAACUGCUGUUCCUACGACCACUACAACUCCAGAACCUACUACGACAACCAGUGCAGCUUCUACUACAACAACUGCUGUUCUUACGACAACAACGACUGCAGCACCAUCUACAACAACUACAACUUCAGCUCCUAUGACAACCACAACAACAGCACCCACAACAACUGUAGCUCCCACGAAAACUGCAGCUCCUUCAACAGCUUUAGCAUCUACGACAACCACUGCAGCCCUAACUACAACAACUGCUGCUACUACGACCACUGCAACUCCACAACCUACUACGACAACCAGUGCAACUCCUACUACAACAACUGCUGUUCUUACGACCACAGUGACUGCAGCACCUUCUACAACAACUACAACUUUAUCUCCUACGACAACCACAACAACAGCACCUACUACAACACCUGAAGUUCCUACAACUGUAGCUCCGACGACCACUCCACCUGCAGUACUUACUACAACAAUCACAACUACAGGUCCUGAUACAACAACUGUAGCUUCUACGUCAACCACAGCAGCUGCCUCUACGACAACCACAGCUGCUCUAACUACAACAACUGCUGCUCCAACGACCACUACAAUUCCAGAACCUAUUACGACAACCACUGCAGUUCCUGCAACAACAACUGCUAUUCUUACAACCACAGCAACUGCAGCACCUUCUACAACAACUACAACUUCAGCGCCUACAACAACUACAACUUCAGCGCCUACGACAACCACAACAGCAACACCUACAGCAACUGUAGCUCCCACGACAACUGCAGCUCCUACAACAACUGUAUCAACUACUUCAUCCACAGCAGCUGCCUCUACGACAACCACUGCAGCUCUAACUACNNNNNNNNNNCCAGAACCUAUUACGACAACCACUGCAGUUCCUGCAACAACAACUGCUAUUCUUACAACCACUGCGACUGCAGCUCCUUCUACAACAACUACAACUUCAGCGCCUACGACAACCACAACAGCAACACCUACAACAACUGUAGCUCCCACGCCAACUGCAGCUCCUACAACACCUUUAUCAUCUACUUCAACCACAGCAGCUGCCUCUACGACAACCACUGCAGCUCUAACUACAACAACUGCUGCUCAAACGACCACUACAACUCCAGAACCUAUUACGACAACCACUGCAGCUCCUGCUACAACAACUCCUUCAACAACUGUAGCUCCCACGACAACUGCAGCUCCUACAACAACUUUAGCAUCUACUUCAACCACAGCUGCUGCCCCUACGACAGCCACUGCAGCCCUAACUACAACAACUGCUGUUCCUACGACCACUACAACUCCAGAACCUACUACGACAACCAGUGCAGCUCCUACUACAACAACUGCUGUUCUUACGACAACAACGACUGCAGCACCAUCUACAACAACUACAACUUCAGCUCCUACGACAACCACAACAACAGCACCCACAACAACUGUAGCUCCCACGACAACUGCAGCUCCUUCAACAGCUUUAGCAUCUACAACAACCACUGCAGCCCUAACUACAACAACUGCUGCUCAAACAACCACUACAACUCCAGAAACUAUUACGACAACCACUGCAGCUCCUGCUACAACAACUACAUCUUCAGCUCCUACGACAACCACAACAGCUACACCUACAACAACUGUAGCUCCCACGCCAACUGCAGCUCCUACAACAACUUUAUCAUCUACUUCAACCACAGCAGCUGCCUCUACGACAACCACAGCUGCUCUAACUACAACAACUGCUGCUCCAACGACCACUACAAUUCCAGAACCUAUUACGACAACCACUGCAGUUCCUGCAACAACAACUGCUAUUCUUACAACCACUGCAACUGCAGCACCUUCUACAACAACUACAACUUCAGCGCCUACAACAACUACAGCUUCAGCGCCUACGACAACCACAACAGCAACACCUACAACAACUGUAGCUCCCACGACAACUGCAGCUCCUACAACAACUGUAUCAACUACUUCAUCCACAGCAGCUGCCUCUACGACAACCACUGCAGCUCUAACUACAACAACUGCUGCUCAAACGACCACUACAACUCCAGAACCUAUUACGACAACCACUGCAGCUCCUGCUACAACUACAACUUCAGCUCCUACGACAACCACAACAACAGCAACUACAACAACUGUAGCUCCCAUGACAACUGCAGCUCCUACAAAAAUUUUAGCGUCCACUUCAACCACAGCAGCUGCCUCUUCGACAGCCACUGCAGCUCUAACUACAACAACUGCUGCUCCUACGACCACUGCAACUCCAGAACCUAUUACGACAACCAGUGCAGCUCCUACUACAACAACUGCUGUUCUAACGACCACAGUGACUGCAGCACCUUCUACAACAACUACAACUUCAGCUCCUACGACAACCACAACAACAGCACCUACAACAACUGUAGCUCCCACGACAACUGCNNNNNNNNNNAACAACUACAACUUCAGCUCCUAUGACAACCACAACAACAGCACCCACAACAACUGUAGCUCCCACGACAACUGCAGCUCCUUCAACAGCUUUAGCAUCUACGACAACCACUGCAGCCCUAACUACAACAACUGCUGCUCCUACGACCACUGCAACUCCACAACCUACUACGACAACCAGUGCAACUCCUACUACAACAACUGCUAUUCUUACAACCGCUGCGCCUGCUUCACCUUCUACAACAACUACAACUUCAGCGCCUACGACAACCACAACAGCAACACCUACAACAACUGUAGCUCCCACGACAACUGCAGCUCCUACAACAACUUUAUCAUCUACUUCAACCACAACAGCUGCCUCUACGACAACCACUGCAGCUCUAACUACAACAACUGCUGCUCAAACGACCAUUACAACUCCAGAACCUAUUACGACAACCACUGCAGCUCCUGCUGCAACAACUACAUCUUCAGCUCCUACGACAACCACAACAGCUACACCUACAACAACUGUAGCUCCCACGCCAACUGCAGCUCCUACAACAACUUUAUCAUCUACUUCAACCACAGCAGCUGCCUCUACGACAACCACUGCAGCUCUAACUACAACAACUGCUGCUCAAACGACAACUACAAAUCCAGCUCCUACAACAACUUUAGCGUCCACUGCAACCACAGCAGCUGCCUCUUCGACAGCCACUGCAGCUCUAACUACAACAACUACUGCUCCUACGACCACUGCAACUCCAGAACCUAUUACGACAACCAGUGCAGCUCCUACUACAACAACUGCUGUUCUAACGACCACAGUGACUGCAGCACCUUCUACAACAACUACAACUUCAGCGCCUACAACAACUACAACUUCAGCGCCUACGACAACCACAACAGCUACACCUACAACAACUGUAGCUCCCACGCCAACUGCAGCUCCUACAACAACUUUAUCAUCUACGUCAACAACAGCAGCUGCCUCUACGACAACCACUGUAGCUAUAACUACAACAACUGCUACUCAAACCACCUCUACAACUCCAGAACCUAUUACGACAACCACUGCAGCUCCUGCUACAACUACAACUUCAGCUCCUACGACAACCACAACAACAGCAACUACAACAACUGUAGCUCCCACGACAACUCCAGCUCAUACAACAACUUUAGCGUCCACUUCAACCACAGCAGCUGCCUCUACGACAACCACUGCAGCUCUAACUACAACAACUGCUGCUCCUACGACCACUGCAACUCCAGAACCUAUUACGACAACCAGUGCAGCUCCGACUACAACAACUGCUGUUCUAACGACCACAGUGACUGCAGCACCUUCUACAACAACUACAACUUCAGCGCCUACGACAACCACAACAGCAACACCUACAACAACUGUAGCUCCCACGACAACUGCAGCUCCUACAACAACUGUAUCAACUACUUCAUCCACAGCAGCUGCCUCUACGACAACCACUGCAGCUCUAACUACAACAACUGCUGNNNNNNNNNNUGUAGCUCCCACGACAACUGCAGCUCCUUCAACAGCUUUAGCAUCUACGACAACCACUGCAGCCCUAACUACAACAACUGCUGCUCCUACGACCACUGCAACUCCACAACCUACUACGACAACCAGUGCAACUCCUACUACAACAACUGCUAUUCUUACAACCGCUGCGCCUGCUUCACCUUCUACAACAACUACAACUUCAGCGCCUACGACAACCACAACAGCAACACCUACAACAACUGUAGCUCCCACGACAACUGCAGCUCCUACAACAACUU